ACACGACUCUCGUCAAUGGAUAUCUCAGCUCUCGCAUCGAUGAAGAGCGCAGCGAAAUGCAAUACAUGGUGUAAAUUGCAGAAUCCCGCGAACCAUCGAGUCUUAGAAUGCAAGUUGCGCCCAAGGCCAAUCUGUCGAGGGCACGUCCGCCUAGGCGUCAAGC
rnacentral:rRNA from 1 species